rnacentral:sRNA from 1 species
CUAGCUACCUCUGAGUUGCGCUGGGCUUGGCUGCUGCACCAUGACCCUGGAGGCGAUCCGCUACUCGCGGGGCUCCCUGCAGAUCCUAGACCAGCUGCUGCUGCCCCAGCAGAGCCGCUACGAGGCGGUGGGCUCGGUGCACCAGGCCUGGGAGGCCAUCCGCGCCAUGAAGGUGCGGGGCGCCCCGGCCAUAGCCCUGGUGGGCUGUCUCAGCCUCGCCGUGGAGCUGCAGGCGGGCGCCGGGGGACCGGGACUCGCCGCGCUCGUGGCCUUCGUGCGCGACAAGCUGAGCUUCCUCGUCACCGCCCGGCCCACCGCUGUCAACAUGGCCCGCGCCGCCCGCGACCUGGCUGAUGUUGCAGCCCGGGAGGCCGAACGGGAGGGCGCUACGGAAGAGGCGGUCCGGGAGAGAGUGAUCUGCUGCACCGAGGACAUGCUGCAGAAAGACCUCAGAGACAACCGAAGCAUUGGGGACCUAGGAGCCCGCCACCUCCUGGAGCGGGUGGCCCCCAGCGGUGGCAAGGUGACUGUGCUGACCCACUGUAACACUGGUGCUCUGGCCACCGCUGGCUAUGGUACAGCCCUAGGUGUGAUCCGCUCACUGCACAGCCUGGGCCGCCUGGAGCAUGCCUUCUGCACGGAGACCCGGCCCUACAACCAGGGAGCCCGGCUGACGGCCUUUGAGCUGGUCUAUGAGCAGAUCCCUGCCACCCUUAUCGCCGACAGCAUGGUGGCUGCUGCCAUGGCCCAUAGGGGCGUGUCAGGUAAGCAGACGGUAAGCCCUGGGGGCGGGGCUCUGGAGCAUGGGGCCAGGUAAUGACUCCCAACUUCUCACACGCCCCCUCCCCAGCUGUGGUCGUGGGAGCUGACCGCGUGGUUGCCAACGGCGACACAGCC